rnacentral:rRNA from 1 species
UACGGAGGGUGCAAGCGUUGCUCGGAAUUAUUGGGCGUAAAGGGCAGGUAGGUGGUCUUAUUUGUCUUGUGUGAAAGCCUUGGGCUUAACCCAAGAAGUGCGCAAGAAACGGUAAGACUAGAGUCCCAGAGAGGUUUGUGGAAUUCCCGGUGUAGCGGUGAAAUGCGUAGAGAUCGGGAGGAACACCAGAGGCGAAGGCGGCAAACUGGAUGGGCACUGACACUCAACUGCGAAAGCGUGGGGAGCAAACAGG